AAAGGAUAGCAGUCAGUGUGCAAACAUGUCCUCUCAUGUCUCAGCUGUGUUUUAAAUCUCACCCAAGCCUCCGGAAGCAAUGGCUGUGGAGCAGGAUUCCAGGCCGGAGAUCCUGAGGGCUUCCAGUCCAUGUGCCAGGAAGUGGCACACCAGAGGGGUCUGGAAUCGUCUGGGAAUUGGAGGAACAUUUCUUCAACCGCCUGAAUGCCCGCUUCAAUAGGGAUAUUAGUGUAAAGGGAAUCUAUGUCUGUUGUGAAAAGCAGGGCAUGUUCUGGUACUUGUAGGUUUCUAAUGAUUUGGAUAAAGUGGUAAGUAUCUUUGACAUACGAGGGAUGUUUAUUUGCCAAUGGGGUAAGGUAAAAAUCAAUAUAUUCUGCCGUAGCGUAGGUUUCACUUCCACAGUCCGAUACUAUAGGUCUACCCGGGGGGAUCUCAUAGGGAACAGUCCAUUUCUCCUUAUCUUUGUGUAUUUUGGGUAAAAUGUAAAAUCGUCUUUCACGUGGUUCCUGUUUUCCUUUUAGGUAUGAUUUUUGUUGUGCAGUAAUGAAUUUAUUUUUGUGUAAGGUGUCCAAUAUAUUGUGUACCAUGGGAAUGGUGUCCUUGUAAAUGGGUUUCUGUAAUGGAGUGUAAUAAAUUUUAUCUGAAAGUUG